rnacentral:rRNA from 1 species
AGAGACGGUUAGGUUCCUAGCGAGCCAACCUCCCACCCGUGUUUACUGUACCUUAGUUGCUUCGGCGGGCCCGCCAUUCAUGGCCGCCGGGGGCUCUCAGCCCCGGGCCCGCGCCCGCCGGAGACACCACGAACUCUGUCUGAUCUAGUGAAGUCUGAGUUGAUUGUAUCGCAAUCAGUUAAAACUUUCAACAAUGGAUCUCUUGGUUCCGGCAUCGAUGAAGAACGCAGCGAAAUGCGAUAACUAGUGUGAAUUGCAGAAUUCCGUGAAUCAUCGAGUCUUUGAACGCACAUUGCGCCCCCUGGUAUUCCGGGGGGCAUGCCUGUCCGAGCGUCAUUGCUGCCCAUCAAGCACGGCUUGUGUGUUGGGUCGUCGUCCCCUCUCCGGGGGGGACGGGCCCCAAAGGCAGCGGCGGCACCGCGUCCGAUCCUCGAGCGUAUGGGGCUUUGUCACCCGCUCUGUAGGCCCGGCCGGCGCUUGCCGAACGCAAAUCAAUCUUUUUCCAGGUUGACCUCGGAUCAGGUAGGGAUACCCGCUGAACUUAAGCAUAUCAAUAAGCGGAGGAAGA